UGACAGCAGCAGCGGUAAUACGGAGGGUGCGAGCGUUAAUCGGAAGUCCUGGGCGUAAAGCGCAUGCAGGUGGUUCAUUAAGUCAGAUGUGAAAGCCCGGGGCUCAACCUCGGAACUGCAUUUGAAACUGGUGAACUAGAGUGCUGUAGAGGGGGGUAGAAUUUCAGGUGUAGCGGUGAAAUGCGUAGAGAUCUGAAGGAAUACCAGUGGCGAAGGCGGACCCCUGGACAGACACUGACACUCAGAUGCGCAAGCGUUGGGCGCAAACAGGAUUAGAUA
rnacentral:rRNA from 1 species